rnacentral:sRNA from 1 species
AGCAAUAGAAUAGGAAACUUAAGGGUGGUCAGCUCAUCCCCAAAUGAAAGGGGGUGGUGCUGUGACGGUAUUCGAAGCAUUAAUGUUUGCAUGUACGUUUGCAAGCUUAGUCAUUGCGAUAUUGUCAUUUAACCAAAGAAAAUAAUCCACCCUUAAGCUUGGAGGCAUAGGUGGAUUAUUCCCAUCUUAAAGCUGUCCCCCUUGAAGGGAACCUUCUAUUGCACUGACCGUUGGUGUUCGAGCACCAGCG